UACGUAGGGUGCAAGCGUUGUCCGGAAUUAUUGGGCGUAAAGGGCGCGUAGGCGGCUUGGCAAGUGGAAGGUGAAAUCCCUCGGCUCAACUGAGGAACUGCCCUCCAAACUGCUUUGCUUGAGGCCGGGAGAGGUAAGUGGAAUUCCCAGUGUAGCGGUGAAAUGCGUAGAUAUUGGGAGGAACACCAGUGGCGAAGGCGGCUUACUGGACCGGUUCUGACGCUGAGGCGCGAAAGCGUGGGGAGCAAACGGGAUAGAAA
rnacentral:rRNA from 1 species